rnacentral:rRNA from 1 species
AGAGCGAACGCUGGCGGCAGGCUUAACACAUGCAAGUCGAGCGGGCGUAGCAAUACGUCAGCGGCAGACGGGUGAGUAACGCGUGGGAACAUACCUUUUGGUUCGGAACAACACAGGGAAACUUGUGCUAAUACCGGAUAAGCCCUUACGGGGAAAGAUUUAUCGCCGAAAGAUUGGCCCGCGUCUGAUUAGCUAGUUGGUGAGGUAACGGCUCACCAAGGCGACGAUCAGUAGCUGGUCUGAGAGGAUGAUCAGCCACAUUGGGACUGAGACACGGCCCAAACUCCUACGGGAGGCAGCAGUGGGGAAUAUUGGACAAUGGGCGCAAGCCUGAUCCAGCCAUGCCGCGUGAGUGAUGAAGGCCCUAGGGUUGUAAAGCUUCUUUUGUGCGGGAAGAUAAUGACGGUACCGACAAGAAUAAGCCCGGCUAACUUCGCGCCAGCAGCCGC